GAUGAACGCUGGCGGCGUGCCUAAUACAUGCAAGUCGAGCGAACGGACGAGAAGCUUGCUUCUCUGAUGUUAGCGGCGGACGGGUGAGUAACACGUGGAUAACCUACCUAUAAGACUGGGAUAACUUCGGGAAACCGGAGCUAAUACCGGAUAAUAUUUUGAACCGCAUGGUUCAAAAGUGAAAGACGGUCUUGCUGUCACUUAUAGAUGGAUCCGCGCUGCAUUAGCUAGUUGGUAAGGUAACGGCUUACCAAAGCAACGAUGCAUAGCCGACCUGAGAGGGUGAUCGGCCACACUGGAACUGAGACACGGUCCAGACUCCUGGGGAGGCAGCAGUAGGGAAUCUUCCGCAAUGGGCGAAAGCCUGACGGAGCAACGCCGCGUGAGUGAUGAAGGUCUUCGGAUCGUAAAACUCUGUUAUUAGGGAAGAACAUAUGUGUAAGUAACUGUGCACAUCUUGACGGUACCUAAUCAGAAAGCCACGGCUAACUACGUG
rnacentral:rRNA from 1 species